rnacentral:rRNA from 1 species
GUACACGCUGUGACUAGCAUAUCAAUAAGCGGAGGAAAAGAAACUAGCAAGGAUUCCCCUAGUAACGGCGAGUGAAGCGGGAAGAGCUCAAAUUUGAAAUCUUAAAGGGUUUCCCUUUACGAAUUGUAGUUUAAAGAAGUGUUUUCUGUUGAGGUUUUGGUAAAAGUUCUUUGGAAUAGGACAUCAUAGAGGGUGAGAAUCCCGUAUUUGACCUUUACUUUCAACUUUGUGAUACACUUUCAAAGAGUCGGAUUGUUUGGGAAUGCAGUCCAAAAUGGGUGGUAAAUUUCAUCUAAAGCUAAAUAUUGGCGAGAGACCGAUAGCGAACAAGUACCGUGAGGGAAAGAUGAAAAGAACUUUGAAAAGAGAGUUAAACAGUACGUGAGAUUGUCAAAAGGGAAGCGUUUGACACCAGUGUUGUUUUUCUGAAAAUCAAUUAAAGAACUGUUUAUGCUAAGUUGUUUAGACUUUAUCAGCUAAUCUGUUUAAUUUUUGAGCUUUUCUUUAAUGCACUUUUCAGUUAACAAGUCAACAUCAAUUUCUUUUGCUGUAAAAAAGCUUGAGGAAGGUGGCUUGAGAUUCGUCUUAAGUGUUUAUAGCCUCUUGCCUAUGCAGUCGGAGAGAUUGAGGUCUGCAGCGUAGAUCCUUCGGGGCUAAAUGCAUUUGUGCUAAGUUAUAGCAUUUUAUAGACAACUUGUUGACUAUGAUUUGUCUUGUAGCUUACUCGCUUAUGUUAUUUUACCUACGCUUAGGAUGUUGAAGAUGUAGCACAUCAU